UACGGAGGGUGCGAGCGUUGUCCGGAAUCAUUGGGCGUAAAGGGCGCGUAGGUGGCCCGGUCAGUUCGUGGUGAAAGCGCGGGGCUCAACCCUGCGUCGGCCAUGAAUACUGCCGCGGCUGGAGCACUGUAGAGGCAGGCGGAAUUCCGGGUGUAGCGGUGGAAUGCGUAGAGAUCCGGAAGAACACCGGUGGCGAAGGCGGCGUUCUGGACUGCAACUGACACUGAGGAACGAAAGCGUGGGGAGCGAACAGG
rnacentral:rRNA from 1 species